UGUUUCCAUAUACAGUAAGUAUUCAACAGAUAUUUGGGCCUGUACUUAUGCAAGCUACUAUGCUUGGCUUAUGGCUUCAGAGGUGUGGCAUGUCCUCUUCAAGAAGGCAUUAGGGCUGAUCACAACAGCUGUGGAUUGUGCAGGACUCACCCCUUUUGUCAUUCACUGUCCAGGGAGCACUGCUGUAAAGUGGGGAGGCUCCUGAUUUCCUAAAGAAAGAGGAGAGGUGAGGCCUAAUCUAAAUUUGGCCUGAUUAUAACAAUUUCACUUUUUGCUAUUAUCAUCAUUAACAUGAAUGGCUGAGUGAAUGUAGAGCUGGUUAAAUGUGUCUUUGCACACCAACUAGAACGUGUUUGCCGAGUGAGUUCAGAAAUGGCCUUUCCUGAAUCACCUGAAAAAAAGUAAAUAUUCAUCAACAAAGACACCAUGUGCCAAAAAGCAGUGAUGAGUUAAUGCUUGGGGAAAGAAUAUAAAUGGCUUCCUAGAAGCUUUGGGAAUGUGGGGAAGCUGGAAGGAGAUGAGG